rnacentral:tRNA from 1 species
GCUCUGGUGGCUUAGUCAGUUAAGUGUCUGACUUCAGCUCAGGUCAUACGUGAUCUUACAGUCUGUGGGUUCGAGCCCCGCAUCGGGCU